CCUACGGGUGGCAGCAGUGAGGAAUAUUGGUCAAUGGGCGAGAGCCUGAACCAGCCAAGUCGCGUGAAGGAUGAAGGAUCUAUGGUUUGUAAACUUCUUUUAUAUGGGAAUAAAGUGAGGAACGUGUUCCUUUUUGUAUGUACAAUAUGAAUAAGCAUCGGCUAACUCCGUGCCAGCAGCCGCGGUAAUACGGAGGAUGCGAGCGUUAUCCGGAUUUAUUGGGUUUAAAGGGUGCGUAGGUGGUUAAUUAAGUCAGCGGUGAAAGUUUGUGGCUCAACCAUAAAAUUGCCGUUGAAACUGGUUGACUUGAGUAUAUUUGAGGUAGGCGGAAUGCGUGGUGUAGCGGUGAAAUGCAUAGAUAUCACGCAGAACACCGAUUGCGAAGGCAGCUUACCAAACUAUAUCUGACGUUGAGGCACGAAAGCGUGGGUAGCAAACAGGAUUAGAUACCCUAGUAGUC
rnacentral:rRNA from 1 species